GACGAACGCUGGCGGCGUGCUUAACACAUGCAAGUCGAACGCUGAAGCACCAGCUUGCUGAUGUGGAUGAGUGGCGAACGGGUGAGUAAUACGUGAGUAACCUGCCCUUGACUCUGGGAUAAGCCCGGGAAACUGGGUCUAAUACUGGAUGCUACAUGUCACCGCAUGGUGGUGUGUGGAAAGGGUUUACUGGUCUUGGAUGGGCUCACGGCCUAUCAGCUUGUUGGUGAGGUAAUGGCUCACCAAGGCGACGACGGGUAGCCGGCCUGGGAGGGUGACCGGCCACACUGGGACUGGGACACGGCCCAGACUCCUACGGGAGGCAGCAGUGGGGAAUAUUGCACAAUGGGCGAAAGCCUGAUGCAGCGACGCCGCGUGAGGGAUGACGGCCUUCGGGUUGUAAACCUCUUUCAGCAGGGAAGAAGCCACAAGUGACGGUACCUGCAGAAGAAGCGCCGGCUAACUACGUGCCAGCAGCCGCGGUAA
rnacentral:rRNA from 1 species